rnacentral:tRNA from 1 species
GCCUGGCUGGCUCAGCUGGUGGAGUAUGUGACUCUUGAUCUCAGGGCUGUGAGUUCGAGCCCUACACUGGGUA